UGGCCGAUGAUGACGUGGACACUGUGCAAUCUGAGUUCUGGGAACCACACGAUGCAGCAUGUUCCAAGAGCCGACUGAGGCCG
rfam:Tupaia chinensis contig34491, whole genome shotgun sequence.